CUCCCUCAGGCCACACUUCCCUGCGGCUCUUCCUGGUGCAAUCCAAUGUCCCGGUGCAUUUUCUUGUCUGAAUUCAUGGAAUCCUGUAAAAAUCUGAUAAGUUCUUGUUUUUGCAUUAAUUUUUUUACUGUGAUAAAAUGUAGAUAAUGUAAAACUUAGCAUUUUAACCAUGUUUAAGUGUCCAGUUCAGUGGCAUUAAGUACAUUCACAUUGUUGUGCAGCCAUCACCACUAUCCUGCUCCAAAACUCUUUUCACCUUGUAAAACGGAAACUCUGUCCCCAUUAGACACUAACUCCCCGUCCCCUUUUCCAGCUUGGCACCCACCCUUCUUUCUGUCUCAAUGAAUUUUUUGACUCCUCUAGGGACCUCAUAUAGUGGGAUCAUACGGCUGAAUAAUACUCCAUUGUGUUGAUGGAACAGAUUUUGUUUAUCCAUUCAUCUUUUGAUGGACAUUUGAAUUGCUUCUACACUUUGGCUGCUUUGAACAUGGGUGUACAAAUACUUAUUGGAGUUUGGUUUAGUUAUGUUUUUAAUGCACUCCUUGAGGCAGCUCUGUACCCAAGGAAACAUACAUCAGAAGGAUUAAAAAAUAACCUAAGGGGUGCUCUUGUUAUAAGACGACUUCAUUAUUCUUUAGACCACACAGUUUUUAUUUCUGCUGAUUACAGCUGUGCAAACACUGAGGCAGAGGUGAAUGGUUGCUGCUGCUCAGGAGUUCAGUCUAGAAGUGGGAGAAACUUGAGAUGUUUAGGGUGGAAAA